rnacentral:rRNA from 1 species
AGGACGAACGCUGGCGGCGUGCUUAACACAUGCAAGUCGAACGGUGACCUCGGAGCUUGCUCCGGGUGAUCAGUGGCGAACGGGUGAGUAACACGUGAGUAACCUGCCCCAGACUCUGGGAUAAACCCCGGGAAACCGGAGCUAAUACCGGAUACGACACGAAGAGGCAUCUCUAUCGUGUGGAAAGUUUUUCGGUCUGGGAUGGACUCGCGGCCUAUCAGCUAGUUGGUGAGGUAACGGCUCACCAAGGCGACGACGGGUA